AACUAAACUUACAAAUGAGGUAGGACUCUCUUAUGGGACUCUCAAUAAUUUGAUAAUUUGCGAGUCUGGUCCAUUGUGGACAAGAUGCACUUAAAAAUUUCUGCUUAGUAGGUGACAUCUAAAUGCUAACUCUGCCCCAUGGUUGAUCUAUUUCUAAGUCAAAUUUGUUCCUUAUAGAAUAUGUUUUUGGGAUUGUAUUUGAAUCGCUUUCAUGCACUUCAAAGCGCAGAUAAUGCAUUUUGAGGCAACAUCAUUUUAUUCUGUAAGUGGAGUGCAUGAAAACCCAAACACUUACAAUGGAUGCUAUGAUUGUUCUGAUUCCAUUUUAAUCAAUUUUAGUUGACAAAAAUGAUGAAUUUUGAGAAUUAAAGUUCCAUCAUAGAUCAUAUUCAUGCUAAGCUGAGUUCAUUGAAUAAGCCUAGCUAGAACCUAGAGUUGCACCACACUAAAACCUCCUAGUUGUAGAAUGAAGGAAUAACUUUCUCAAUUAGAGUAAAAAUUCUAAAUUAAUUAGCUCAAUCUAUGGUGAUAUGGCAAGAAAAUUGCAACUGCCUACUGCUUUUUUUUACUGGUUUUGCAAAAAUGGGCAUAUCGCCCUUUAUUUUGUUCUCUAAGAAGUUUGAAUAAUUUUUCUUGUUCACUGUAUUCAUUUCUUUAGGGCUGCAAACCUGUCGAACGUA
rnacentral:misc_RNA from 1 species